UAGGGAAUCUUCGGCAAUGGGGGGAACCCUGACCGAGCAACGCCGCGUGAGUGAAGAAGGUUUUCGGAUCGUAAAGCUCUGUUGUUAAGGAAGAACGAGUGUGAGAAUGGAAAGUUCAUGCUGUGACGGUACUUAACCAGAAAGGGACGGCUAACUACGUGCCAGCAGCCGCGGUAAUACGUAGGUCCCGAGCGUUGUCCGGAUUUAUUGGGCGUAAAGCGAGCGCAGGCGGUUAGAAAAGUCUGAAGUUAAAGGCAGUGGCUCAACCAUUGUAGGCUUUGGAAACUGUUUGACUUGAGUGCAGAAGGGGAGAGUGGAAUUCCAUGUGUAGCGGUGAAAUGCGUAGAUAUAUGGAGGAACACCGGUGGCGAAAGCGGCUCUCUGGUCUGUAACUGACGCUGAGGCUCGAAAGCGUGGGGAGCGAACAGG
rnacentral:rRNA from 1 species